CCUACGGGAGGCAGCAGUGGGGAAUAUUGGACAAUGGGCGAAAGCCUGAUCCAGCCAUGCCGCGUGUGUGAAGAAGGUCUUCGGAUUGUAAAGCACUUUAAGUUGGGAGGAAGGGCAUUUACCUAAUACGUAAGUGUUUUGACGUUACCGACAGAAUAAGCACCGGCUAACUCUGUGCCAGCAGCCGCGGUAAU
rnacentral:rRNA from 2 species